CCUAGGGGGGCAGCAGUGGGGAAUAUUGGGCAAUGGGCGCAAGCCUGACCCAGCAACGCCGCGUGAAGGAAGAAGGCUUUCGGGUUGUAAACUUCUUUUAAGAGGGAAGAGCAGAAGACGGUACCUCUUGAAUAAGCCACGGCUAACUACGUGCCAGCAGCCGCGGUAAUACGUAGGUGGCAAGCGUUGUCCGGAUUUACUGGGUGUAAAGGGCGUGCAGCCGGGCUGACAAGUCAGAUGUGAAAUCCCGCGGCUCAACCGCGGAACUGCAUUUGAAACUGUUAGUCUUGAGUACCGGAGAGGUC
rnacentral:rRNA from 1 species